CAGAAGAAGCACCGGCUAACUCUGUGCCCAGCAGCCGCGGUAAUACAGAGGGGUGCAAGCGUUAUUCGGAAUUACUGGGCGUAAAGCGCGCGUAGGCGGAUGAUUAAGUCAGUUGUGAAAGCCCUGGGCUCAACCUAGGAACUGCAUCUGAUACUGGUCAUCUAGAGUUUAAGAGAGGGAAGUGGAAUUCCAGGUGUAGCAGUGAAAUGCGUAGAUAUCUGGAGGAACAUCAGUGGCGAAGGCGACUUCCUGGCUUAAAACUGACGCUGAGGUGCGAAAGCGUGGGUAGCGAACGGGAUUAGAUACCCCGGUAGUCCACGCCGUAAACGAUGUCAACUAGUUGUUGGUCUUAUUAAAAAGAUUAGUAACGAAGCUAACGCGAUAAGUUGACCGCCUGGGGAGUACGGUCGCAAGAUUAAAACUCAAAGGGAUUGACGGGGGCCCGCACAAGCGGUGGAGCAUGUGGUUUAAUUCGAUGCAACGCGAAGAACCUUACCAUCCCUUGACAUGUAGAGAAUUUUCCAGAGAUGGAUUAGUGCCUUCGGGAACUCUAACACAGGUGCUGCAUGGCUGUCGUCAGCUCGUGUCGUGAGAUGUUGGGUUAAGUCCCGCAACGAGCGCAACCCUUAUCUUUAGUUGCUACCAUUUAGUUGAGAACUCUAAAGAGACUGCCGGUGAUAAACCGGAGGAAGGUGGGGACGACGUCAAGUCACCAUGGCCCUUAUGGGAUGGGCUACACACGUGCUACAAUGGGGGGUACAAAGAGCAGCCAACUGGCAACAGUGCGCGAAUCUCAAAAAGCCUCUCGUAGUCCGGAUCGGAGUCUGCAACUCGACUCCGUGAAGUCGGAAUCGCUAGUAAUCGCGGAUCAGAAUGCCGCGGUGAAUACGUUCCCGGGCCUUGCACACACCGCCCGUC
rnacentral:rRNA from 1 species